rnacentral:rRNA from 1 species
GAGUUUGAUCCUGGCUCAGAGUGAACGCUGGCGGCGUGCCUAAUACAUGCAAGUCGAACGAUGAAUCUUCUAGCUUGCUAGAAGUGGAUUAGUGGCGCACGGGUGAGUAAUGCAUAGGUUAUGUGCCCUUUAGUCUGGGAUAGCCACUGGAAACGGUGAUUAAUACUGGAUACUCCCUACGGGGGAAAGUUUUUCGCUAAAGGAUCAGCCUAUGUCCUAUCAGCUUGUUGGUGAGGUAAUGGCUCACCAAGGCUAUGACGGGUAUCCGGCCUGAGAGGGUGAUCGGACACACUGGAACUGAGACACGGUCCAGACUCCUACGGGAGGCAGCAGUAGGGAAUAUUGCUCAAUGGGGGAAACCCUGAAGCAGCAACGCCGCUAAAGGAUGAAGGUUUUAGGAUGUAAACUCCUUUGUAGAGAAGA